rnacentral:rRNA from 1 species
UACGGAGGGUGCAAGCGUUAUCCGGAUUCACUGGGUUUAAAGGGUGCGUAGGUGGGCAAGUAAGUCAGUGGUGAAAUCUCCGGGCUUAACCCGGAAACUGCCAUUGAUACUAUUUGUCUUGAAUACUGUGGAGGUCAGCGGAAUAUGUCAUGUAGCGGUGAAAUGCUUAGAUAUGACAUAGAACACCAAUUGCGAAGGCAGUCUACUAAGUCGAUACUGACGCUGAGGCACGAAAGCAUGGGGAGCAAACAGG